UUGAGAAUCACCUGUUGAAACCUUCAGGUCUGCAUUUGAGGUGAAGUCUCUCCUUGAUCCCUGGGUCGGUUCCCAGUGAGCUCUCUCUUCGCUGACUCUUUUCUAUGUCAUAUGGUUAUAUUCCUUUGUAGCGUCCGAUUGUUAGCAUCCUGCUGUUUGCUACUUUCUACUUUUUUGCUGAUUGUGUGAUGUGUGUUUAAUGUCCUUUGUCAUUCCCAACACUAAGCUUCUGAGCAUCGUGAAGGUCUUUGAUUUAUUUGUGUCCCCAUCAUUCUUUGAUCAUAAAUGUGUAGGAAUUGAGGAAGCAGUAACACUCAUUUCCACAAUGAUUCCCUUCCUGAUGAACGACCAUUUUCUCCUUUAUUCGUCCUUCUCUUGGCACUUCUGUAUAUAGUAUUUGUUUUCCGUAAUUUUUCUGUUCCAAUUAGAGUACAAGUGUGAAAGGGCCUCGUGGUGUUCUGCUUUGAUGCUUGUUCAUCGCACGUCUUUUUGAGCCUCUCCUAUGUUCCAUCCAGCGUGUUAAGGAGCAGUAGAGAACUGUGGACAAUUCUGCUUGGAAGGUCGGCUCUGAGAGAACUGAAUCAGAUUGAGGCAGAACUGAGUAAACAUUGGCAGCGGCUGUUAGAGGGGCUUUCUUACUACAAACCUCCCAGUCCGAAUUCCGCUGAAAAAGUGAAAGCUAAUAAAGAUGUAGCUUCACCUCUGAAGGAACUGGGUUUAAGAAUCAGCAAGUUCUUGGGUCUUGAUGAAGAACAGAGUGUACAGUUACUCCAGUGUUACCUUCAAGAGGAUUACAGAGGUACCCGGGGCUCACUGAAGGUUGGUAGUUACGUGCAGCUCCCUUCUACUUUUAUCCUUUUCCUUGUUGGUUUGAGAUAACGUAGGGUUUUGCUAUCAGUUCUUUGCAGCACGGGUAGGUGAUGAGAUAUAGUCCUUCUCAGGAAAGACUAAAGGCUUAAAAAAACAUACUUAAG